CAGUAGCCGCGGUAACACAGAGGGUGCGAGCGUUAAUCGGAUUUACUGGGCGUAAAGCGUGCGUAGGCGGCUUCUUAAGUCGGAUGUGAAAUCCCUGAGCUUAACUUAGGAAUUGCAUUCGAUACUGGGAAGCUAGAGUAUGGGAGAGGAUGGUAGAAUUCCAGGUGUAGCGGUGAAAUGCGUAGAGAUCUGGAGGAAUACCGAUGGCGAAGGCAGCCAUCUGGCCUAAUACUGACGCUGAGGUACGAAAGCAUGGGGAGCAAACAGGAUUAAAUACCCCCGUAGUCCCUGUCUCUUAUAC
rnacentral:rRNA from 1 species